GACGGUGUCUGGAGCAGGAGUCUAAAGUCCCGCGUGGCGCUGAGCCAAUGAGAGUUGACGCCGGCCCGGAGGGCGGCGACACACCGUGCAGUCCCCGCCUCUUUCCUCCCUUUUCUCAGACCCGACGGCGCGGACCCAGCCAGGCUGCUGCAGCACUUUAUUUAACUUUGUCUCAUCUGCCUUCCUUUUCCCGGAACCCACUCUCCUAACCCACCCCUGGGAGGGGGAGAGAAUGCGGGGAGCACUUCAGAGAGGCCUAGGCUCCGGAGAUCGGACCAUCUGGGUUCUGAAAGUAAAUUAGUUUUCCAACUCAUGUCUGGUUCCAGCAUUAUCCAGACGCCUGGAAGGUCCUUCCUGCCGUCUGAUCACCAUUUUUCCUGCUGCACUGACCUAUCAGCAUCCCUUGGUUUUCAACCUCGGGAAUAGUGGGGGAGUCUAGAAAUGGACGAAGCCCUAGGUGAGGGUUUGAAUCCUCUUUUCCCAAGACUAAGGCUGCGGAUGGAGCCUAAGCCUGGGCCCAUUCUUGGCUUUAUCUGAACUCCAGAUUACCAAGCCUGGGGCUGAGCUCCAAGGAGGCUGAGAAGGGCCAGACCCUAGGCAGAGCCUUAGGGCGCAGCUAUCAUCACCUUCCCCUCUGGGAUGUUUGGCACCGAACCUCCGUAUUAACCCUGAAUUUCCGUAUUAACCCCUCAGAAGCGCAGCUGAAGACAGGCAGAGGGCCCUUCUCGGCUUCAGAAUCCCUCCCCACCUUGGAGGCAGGACCUCCUGACACCUGAGUUCGUGUCCGCCUUCCCCAGACUCCACAGCGAUCCUCAGUGUCCCACUCUGUGCAGUGGACGCACUCCUCCUGCGCCUGCGCAGCCUCGCGACCAGUAUCUUCUAAGGCUGCAAGGAGCUAAAAAUCGCUCCCGCCCACCCACAAGCUGGGCUGGACUUGAGGAUCGCGGUGGGGGGGUGGAUGUUGUAGUGGAGGAGGUGGAAUGAAGAGUGAGAAAGCUGUCUAGGUGCCUGUCCAAUUAGGGCAGUAGGAAGAAUCCUGAUGGCCAGGCAGAUGAGGCCAAACCCACCAUGCUUCCCGAAGCUGGAGAGUGUCCGAGCCCUCAGCACUCCAAGUCCUGGCAUUGGGGGACAGAAGGGCUUUCCAAGGGGUGGUGGCCGGUAUCUGGCCCCAAGGUCCUGGAGGGCGCGGUCGCUGGGUAAGAGCGACCCCUGAUGGACGACGGGGAUGACGGCGAAUCUGGGUCCGGGUUUUUCCCCAGGAGCUUGUCGUCUCAAGUCCGCGCCUUUGCCUGGGUUAUCUCUGUCUCACUAUAUGUUUGUUGGCACGUUUGUGUCGCCGUCUCCCUGAGUCCCUUGCUCCCACAUCUCUCCGUCCAUGGCCGGGACUCCGCCCCUGGCGACCUCUGUCACGACGGCGACCGCGGGAGCUCUCCUUGGUGCUGGCCUCGCACGCUCCUGUCCGCGGUGCUGAAAUCCAAGCGCAGGGUCGGGGGCUCAGAUUAGGGAAGGAGAGAGGGUACGGAGGCUCUGGCGUGAGGCAUGUCCCAGAGGCUGAACAGAUCUGACCCACAAGGAUCCUGGACCACCUCAAGAUGGACUAGGGGAAAGCUAGGUCCAGCAGAUCUUGCUUACGGAGGCCUCCAGCACAUCACUGGGUGCACACAGAGGGACCCAGAGACAGUGUCUACUGAUUUGUUCACUUUUUCACCACUUAUUGAGCACCUACUGUGUGCAAUGUAGUGUUUUGGGAUCUAGGAGGGAGUACAGCAAUAAAAGAGACAGACAAAAAGCCUCUCUUGCCCUGAGAUGAGAGGCACACGAACACUUACAUACAAUCACAUGCUCAGCAAACACACACGCAUAUAUUCAAACAUACUCUGCAAACAUACUCCACAAACACAGAUCCACACAUACUGCAAAUUAACACAUGUAUAAACACAUACUCAGCAAAUACACGCAAACAUCCAUAAAUACGGAUACACACAAACUCACACUCUGCAGCCAUACAACACAUACUUAAGAAACACAGACAUAUACACACUUAUGAAAUGCAAACACACACAAAUAACACAUAUAAACAUAAAAUAAAUGUAAGCACAGUCACAUAGUUCCAAAACCAAGGGAUGUCCAGUUGCACACAAAUUCUCAUCUAAAACACAAAUUAUUCUCAUAAUACAACACAUAGAUACACACCCCCAUGCCCACUGCAAGCAUGUUUUUCUCAUCUCAUUCUCCCCCUAGAAUGUCAGCUCUAUGAAGGUUGAGAUUUUUAUGUCUUUUAUUUUUAUU